rnacentral:rRNA from 1 species
UACGGAGGGUGCAAGCGUUAUCCGGAUUUACUGGGUUUAAAGGGUGCGUAGGCGGGCCCUUAAGUCAGUGGUGAAAGCUCCGAGCUUACUCGGAAACUGCCAUUGAUACUAUAGGUCUUGAAUUCGGUCGAGGUUGGCGGAAUGUGUCGUGUAGCGGUGAAAUGCUUAGAUAUGACACAGAACACCGAUUGCGAAGGCAGCUAGCUAGACCGACAUUGACGCUGAGGCACGAAAGCGUGGGGAUCAAACAGG